UACGUAGGGGGCAAGCGUUGUCCGGAUUUAUUGGGCGUAAAGAGCGUGUAGGCGGCCAGGUAGGUCUGCUGUGAAAACUCGAGGCUCAACCUCGAGAUGUCGGCGGAAACCAUCUGGCUAGAGUCCGGAAGAGGAGAAUGGAAUUCCCGGUGUAGCGGUGAAAUGCGCAGAUAUCGGGAAGAACACCCGUGGCGAAGGCAGCUCGCUGGGACGUUACUGACGCUGAGACGCGAAAGCGUGGGGAGCAAACAGG
rnacentral:rRNA from 1 species